GAUGAACGCUAGCGGCAGGCCUAAUACAUGCAAGUCGAACGAGAUUACGAGGCUUGCUUCUUAUGAAAGUGGCGCACGGGUGCGUAACGCGUAUGCAACCUACCUUAAUCAGGGGGAUAGCCCGAAGAAAUUCGGAUUAAGACCGCAUAAAAACACAGGAUAGCAUUAUCCAAUGUUCAAAUAUUUAUAGGAUUAAGAUGGGCAUGCGUGUCAUUAGCUAGUUGGCGGGGUAACGGCCCACCAAGGCGACGAUGACUAGGGGAUCUGAGAGGAUGACCCUCCACACUGGUACUGAGACACGGACCAGACUCCUACGGGAGGCAGCAGUAAGGAAUAUUGGUCAAUGGAGGGAACUCUGAACCAGCCAUGCCGCGUGCAGGAAGACAGCCCUCUGGGUCGUAAACUGCUUUUAUUCGGGAAUAAACCUUUCUACGUGUAGGAAGCUGAAUGUACCGAAGGAAUAAGGAUCGGCUAACUCCGUG
rnacentral:rRNA from 1 species